rnacentral:rRNA from 1 species
UACGUAGGGCGCAAGCGUUGUCCGGAAUUAUUGGGCGUAAAGAGCUCGUAGGCGGUCUGUCGCGUCCGUUGUGAAAACUCGAGGCUCAACCUCGGGCUUGCAGUGGAUACGGGCAGACUAGAGUGCGGGUAGGGGGAGACUGGAAUUCCUGGUGUAGCGGUGGAAAUGCGCAGGAUAUCAGGAGGAACACCGAUGGCGAAGGCAGGGUCUCCUGGGCGCGAACUGACGCUGAGGAGCGAAAGCAUGGGGAGCGAACAGG